CCUACGGGUUGCAGCAGUAGGGAAUCUUCGGCAAUGGACGAAAGUCUGACCGAGCAACGCCGCGUGAGUGAAGAAGGUUUUCGGAUCGUAAAGCUCUGUUGUAAGAGAAGAACGAGUGUGAGAGUGGAAAGUUCACACUGUGACGGUAUCUUACCAGAAAGGGACGGCUAACUACGUGCCAGCAGCCGCGGUAAUACGUAGGUCCCGAGCGUUAUCCGGAUUUAUUGGGCGUAAAGCGAGCGCAGGCGGUUAGAUAAGUCUGAAGUUAAAGGCUGUGGCUUAACCAUAGUACGCUUUGGAAACUGUUUAACUUGAGUGCAAGAGGGGAGAGUGGAAUUCCAUGUGUAGCGGUGAAAUGCGUAGAUAUAUGGAGGAACACCGGUGGCGAAAGCGGCUCUCUGGCUUGUAACUGACGCUGAGGCUCGAAAGCGUGGGGAGCAAACAGGAUUAGAUACCCGCGUAGUC
rnacentral:rRNA from 1 species